UCACCUGGAGCAGCACAGACGCUUCAGUCUCCAUUCUUUCUUCAGGAAAGAGGCCUACUCACAGAUGGACACACCAAGGUUCAGGAACGCAGCCACCUCCCACCUGCCCUCUUUGCUGCUGCUCUCCUCUGCCUGCAAUCCACCCUCCACAAGGAAGGAAACCUUUUAAAACAGACCUAUCUCCCACCGCUUCCUCCAUCCCACUGAGUGUGCCCCAUGGCUUUCUUGUAUGCUGCAAGCCUUCCAGUCAGAAAGCCGGACCUGGCAGUGAAGGUGUGGACAGACCUUAACUCGUGGAGGUUAAGAGCCACGACGGUCGGGAGCUUACCGGAAAUGGCUUAUCGCUGCCUCUCCUGGGCAUGACUGCGAUCUGGGUGAGAUUCCAGGAGACCAAGCCAACUUUAAGAUGCCAAGGGGCAAGUCUCUAAACACCGGUGUUCAGACUGUUUCAAGUCUGAAAACAUCGGUGGGUGAAGGGUAGGGAAAGAGCUCGGAGGGGCAGGAGGAGAGGAGAGAGGGGAGAACGAGAGGCCUUCCUCAGUCUCUCAAAUAAUGUAUCAGAGUCAGCUGUCUCCACAGCCGUUAUGAGUUGAAGUGCAGCCUCCAAAAUUCACAGGUUGAAGUCCUAACCCCUGUACCUCAGAAUGUGACCAUAUUUGGAAAUAGGCCUAUUGAGAUCACACUGGAUUAGGAUGGGCCCCUAAUCCGUAUGACUUCAUACAAAGGGGAAAUUUGGACACAGACCCACACACAGAGGGAACGCCGUGUGAACAUGAAGACGGCUACCUACAAGCCAAAGAGAAGGGCCUGGAGCAGAUUCUCCAUCACAGCCCUCAGAAGGACACCUGCUGACACCUUGGUCUCAGGCUUCCAGCCUGCAGAGCUGCAAGAGUACACCUCCCUGUAGUUUCCGUUGCUCAGUUUGUGGUACUUUGUAAAGGCAGCCUUAGCAAACGAAUGCAAUCGCUCAUUUCCAAGUCCUUCUAAGAGAAACCUGUGCCGUGGACAACAGUUCUCAGGUGUAAGAGAACUGCUAGGGCAAGAUUCUAGAUGGCUUCAGCAUUUCUAGAAUUACUUCUAAUUAUUACACCUUAUAGUACAGCAAAGGCAGAGUGCGAUUUCAGCUCAAAAUCACCCUGGGUUUCCUGUGACACUUCCCUCACUUCUCAGGAAACCUUCCAAGAACCAUCCAUGGAGAGGGGCGCUGUGUGUCCCGUACGAAAUAGUUGUCUUUACUGACAGAUUUCAAAUAAGCACACGAACAAACACCUUAGGGAGAUGAACCUCAAAGCACAAGGUUCCAAACUAUUAGAUGAUAAUUAUACUAAAUGCUUAUUGAUUACACUUAACCAUGUUUUAGUCUUCUAUAUAAUUGCCACUUGGAAAGUCUAUGCAUCUGACAAAAUGAUCUAAUUUUUCCACUUAGCAUUCUUACAUUUUUGUAUCAUACUGGGAAAGAAUGUAUCUGUAGAAUGUGGGCUUCAAAACAAAUGGAAUCAAACAAAGAUGUUCUUUGUUUAAGGAACAUAUUCUAAAUUAGGGCCAUGAGAACAUGCACAAUUUUGUGGCAAUUUUGCAAAACACGGUUUACUUUGAUGACUUGAUAAAACCCCGCACUGUAUCUACAGACAUUUCUGAUUUUUCUGUAAUCAGAUAUGCAUUUUGCUGGGUGGAAGUAUAAACACGAAUUCCUUUCUGUAUGUUUUCUCAUGUCACCCAGCAGCCAGCAGGCGGUGAGAAGGACGUGAGCUCACCAAAGGUGAGGCUUGCGUUUAAUUUGCUUCGUGCAGCACUAACAUGGUACAGUGCGUCACACACACAGACUCUGAAUAUUUCAUUCAUUCAUUCAACAAACGCACACUGCCCUCCCGUUACUGUGUUCGGCACUCGAUGGUGAGGAAUCCCACGGGGCAGACAAGCAACUCCUAGGAGGAAAGGACCGCGGAGCUGUCUUCGCCCUCUAGGCAGACGUAGUCUAGAUAUGGGAACCUUCACAGCUUAAGAUUAUGGGAGGCAAAACUCAUCAGGUCCGUUUUCUGUUUGUUCUCUGGGGACCUGGAAGGUCUGGGUUGAUGACAACAGUAAACACUCAGGUCUUGUUGGGCCUCUCCUAAAAACCUUAGCCCUGGGACAGAGAGGAAAGCUGUCACACAGACUGUCUUUUCUAGUUUACUGCUUUUGACUAAAAUAACAACAUUCAUUCUGACAUAAUGACCGCACCAAUUAGACUUAAUUAGACUUAGGCCAACACCCCCCCCCCACCCCUUCCACACACACACACACAAAACAAAAAACAAACAAAAAAACUCUGAUGGAAUAAGAGUUCUUUAAUGUAGCGGUGGGAACGGAAACCUCCUCAGGAGUCCCUGCAGUCAUUAUCUACCGUCUCCCAGGGGCUGGGUGACAGGUGCAGUGCAGGGCAGAUGUCCACGGGGGCAUGAGUGUCACAGAGCUGUGGGCCUCCCCUCCACCAACCUCUUCCCUAGAUGUGUCACCUCCUUUCUUACGAUGCACCCCAGCACUAUCUGCUGGGGAAGGGGGUGGGUGUCCAACAGGGAGAGCUGACCAGCAAGGCCCCGGGCAACAGGACAGGCCGAAGCCAUCUAGAAUCUCACUCAGAGUGGAAGCCCCUGAGGGCAGGGCCUCUUCCAGCCAGCUGUGCCCGUAGCACAUAUACAUUCAAUGAAAGAAGGGCUGCAUCCAAUUCCAAGGACAUUAAAACCCUUCUUGUAACAGUCCUGGUCCUUUCUUGGGGUGUCCAUAUGGAAAAGGGGUUCCUCCAAUGCAACCCCCGAGAGUGCGUGUGGGAGACCUAGAGUGAGGUGUAGGGUUGUUGUCACAGUUUCUUGGGGCCCUGAGUUACACAUCGAUAGACCAGGGCAACUUUAAAGACCAACUAAAAUGGAGGUUGCAUAGAAAGUAAUUUUGAGUAAUCGUUGAAAAAAUACAAAUGUCACUGCAGUAUGGCCAACAGACACAAGUAUUUAUUCUGUUUUGUUUUUUAAUUGAAACUGUCGGCAAAGUUAAAAAAUCCCUUUUUCUCCCUGGCCACUGCCUAAAGACUGAAUGAGGCCCGCCCUGCAUCCACUGCAGAUGCUGGCAGAGCGGCAGCGGCUCCCUGGGGAUGUGAUUAGUGUCCAGGGUUCCUUAAAGAGAGGGAGAUGUGAGGAGCUGAUUAGGACUCAGAUCAGAGGCCAGGCCCAGGCUGUCUAGAGCUGACUUCGCCAGGUAAAUAAAAGGGCAGUCACUGCAGCCCAGGCACAUUCUCAGGUCCUGCGGUGGAAAAGUGCAGAGCUGCACCCACGGGAUGCAUGGCCUCCUGUGGCAAAUGUCUGUAGUCCCCAGACACACGGGAUGCUUUGUGCACAAGAUAUUUCAUUAUUUGACGUCACUUAGCAUGCCCUCCUAAUUCUCACAUCCUUAGCCCUCAGGCAUUGGCCAGUGUGGAGCUAGCGUUGAGUGGGGAUGGAUCACAGCCGGGGCCUGCUUCUCUGUUCCCCCAACAUUUCCUGGGUGACACCCCUCUGUAUGGGAACACUGUCCACUGGUCAGUAGUGACCUGUAUCAAACAACAGCAAAGCCGUUGGCUCUGUGGCUUUAAAUGAAUAACCUAAAUGACCUCUCAAUAAUGGCUAACAGUUACUGACUUCUUUCUCUGUGCCAGGGCUGUGCUUAAUAUUCAUUAUUUCACAGCAACCCUACGACGUUGUUAUCCUCCUUGUUAUACAGGUAGGAAAACUGAGACAUAGGAUUUUAGUGCCAAAGGUCACACGAGGAGUACACAAGGUAGCCGGGCCUCAGAUGUUUUUAUCUUAUCUCCGGAGCCUAAGCCUUGACUCCUUCACACUGUCACAGCUGACAAAGCCCCUUGUUUUCCUGCCCGCCAAGGGUCAGCACAGUCUGUCGGGUUGUACAAAGUGUUCCUCAACCUCAUACAAAUUCUCUGUUCCUUGGGUAUCAACCCAACUGUAUCUAAAAGCCCAUCUUCCAGUUAGCUUGCAGGGACUGAGGGGCCUCUCCUGGGAAUGUCUAUCUGCGGUAAAGACUAAACCCUGCCGCAUAAAUCUUGUCCGGGAAAAGAAAAGAACCUGGGUUGUGCAGGGGUCGAGUUACUCCAGCUGCCGGGACCUCCUGCUCACAGACUCCCGGAGAUCAGAGGGGAGCCAGGCCAAUCUGAUUCUUGGCCCGGGGUGGUGGGGGGGGGCCUGUUUGAAGUGAAUCUUCUCAGGUUUCCAAGGAGGGCAGGUUGGCUGGGGAGCUGGGAGGGCUGAGACCCAGGGAUGAAUUCUGCACUGUGUGACUCCUUAGAGAAGCUUCAGGCUCUGCAGGCUGGAUAGCCAGCCAGGCUCCUUUCUCCCGCAGGUAAGGGAGAGGUCCUCUUUCUCCCCGUGUGUUAUUCAUACUCUGCUCACGCUGCCGCCUGCCUGCUCAGGUGGGAAGAGGGGCGAGCACAGUUCUUUUCCUGCAGAGUGAGAGUCAGAAAAGGCAAGGGAUGCCCCUCAACCCAGGUUAUCUGAGGGAGGCAUUGACAGAGCUGAGAGCCCACAAUACAACGUCUGGGUCCUCAUCCUGGUGUCAGGUAGGGGCGGGGGACUCAGCCCCAGCUCAGCCUGGAGGCUGCCGUCACUACUCUCUCUUUCCUGCAAUGUAAUCAGAUUUAAUAAAACAUGAAUAUUGUAUAAUAAA